rnacentral:lncRNA from 1 species
GGACAGACAUGAAAAGAUCCAUGAGAUACAGUUACAUGAGCUGAUAUUCCACACCUCUCCAAGCACAAGAGACCUAUGAAUCAAAGCUUCCAGUUAGAGACAGGCUCCUGAAUCAUAUUUGAGCUUGGUUACUGAGUGGUGACUGCCUUACUAGGACCAUGAAAUCUGCAAUGGGCAGUAUCCUAAGUACAAAACAGAGCAUCUCUUCACUAGC